AUGUACAUUAGUGCUAAGCGGAACGGCUCACAACCGCAAGUCAUCGGACGAAGGCGAAGAUCCAUGGAGAAGGCCAAAAGGGGCAUAGCCAAAGCGGUGGUCAGGGAUUGGACCGAGACCACGGCCGCCGCCACUGAGAAGAACAGGCUACCUCACACCGUCACCACGCCACCAGCAGCUCCACCCCACACGAGCAAUCCCCGGAAGACGCCUUCAAGGAGCACGGCACCGGAUGCCGCCAUCGACCAUGCAAGGGGAGGGCAGGUCUUCACCUGUGCUCGAGGGAAAGGUGGGAGGGGAGAACCACACCAAAGCCUCCAGGAAGGACCACGGCGCCGAAGACGUCGCCUUUGGUGA
rnacentral:rRNA from 1 species